GAUGAACGCUGGCGGCGUGCUUAACACAUGCAAGUCGAACGAAGCACUUUAUUUGAUUUCCUUCGGGACUGAUUAUUUUGUGACUGAGUGGCGGACGGGUGAGUAACGCGUGGGUAACCUGCCUUGUACAGGGGGAUAACAGUUGGAAACGGCUGCUAAUACCGCAUAAGCGCACAGCAUCGCAUGAUGCAGUGUGAAAAACUCCGGUGGUAUAAGAUGGACCCGCGUUGGAUUAGCUAGUUGGUGAGGUAACGGCCCACCAAGGCGACGAUCCAUAGCCGACCUGAGAGGGUGACCGGCCACAUUGGGACUGAGACACGGCCCAAACUCCUACGGGAGGCAGCAGUGGGGAAUAUUGCACAAUGGGCGAAAGCCUGAUGCAGCGACGCCGCGUGAGCGAAGAAGUAUUUCGGUAUGUAAAGCUCUAUCAGCAGGGAAGAUAAUGACGGUACCUGACUAAGAAGCACCGGCUAAAUACGG
rnacentral:rRNA from 1 species